UACAGAGGGUGCAAGCGUUGUUCGGAAUUAUUGGGCGUAAAGCGCGUGUAGGCGGCGUGACAAGUCGGGUGUGAAAGCCCUCAGCUCAACUGAGGAAGUGCGCCCGAAACUGUCGUGCUUGAGUGCCGGAGAGGGUGGGCGGAAUUCCCCAAAGUAGAGGUGAAAUUGUAGAUAUUAGGAAGAACACCGGUGGCGAAGGCGGCCCAACUGGGAUCGGUACUG
rnacentral:rRNA from 1 species